GGAGGACUGUAGCUCAGUGAUACAGCAUCUGCCUUGCAUGAAGAAGGUCCCAGGUUCAAUCCUUGGCAUCUCCC